GACGGAAGGUGCAAGCGUUGCUCGGAAUCACUGGGCGUAAAGGGUGCGUAGGCGGCCGUGUAAGUCUGGCGUGAAAGCCCCGGGCUCAGCCCGGGAAGUGCGCUCGAAACUGCACGGCUCGAGUGCCGGAGGGGAGAGUGGAAUUCCUGGUGUAGCGGUGAAAUGCGUAGAUAUCAGGAGGAAUACCGGUGGCGAAAGCGACUCUCUGGACGGCAACUGACGCUGAGGCACGAAAGCGUGGGGAGCAAACAGG
rnacentral:rRNA from 1 species